CGGACGGGUGAGUAACGCGUGGGUGACCUGCCCCACUACCGGGGGAUAACAGCUGGAAACGGCUGCUAAUACCGCAUAAGCGCACAGAGCUGCAUGGCUCGGUGUGAAAAACUCCGGUGGUAUGAGAUGGACCCGCGUCUGAUUAGCUAGUUGGUGGGGUAACGGCCUACCAAGGCGACGAUCAGUAGCCGACCUGAGAGGGUGACCGGCCACAUUGGGACUGAGACACGGCCCAA
rnacentral:rRNA from 1 species